AUUGAACGCUGGCGGCAGGCCUAACCCAUACCAGUCGAACGAUUGUCGGACGGUUGAGUAAUGUCUGGGAAACUGCCCGAUGGAUUGGUCUACCUACUGGAACCGGUAGCUAAUACCGCCUACCAUCGGAUUUGCCCAUCUGGGAUGAGAUAGUGGGUGGGGUAACGGCACACCUCGGCGACGCUCCCUAGCUGGUCUGCGAGGAUGACCAGCCAAACUGGAACUGAGACACGGUCCAGACUCCUACGGGAGGCAGCAGUGGGGAAUAUUGCAAAAUGGGCGCAAGCCUGAUGCAGCAAGGCCGCGGGUAGGAAGAAGGCCUUCGGGUUGUAAAGUACUUUCAGCGAGGAGGCGUUACUCGCAGAAGAAGCACCGGCUAACUCCGUGCCAGCAGCCGCGGUAAUUC
rnacentral:rRNA from 1 species